rnacentral:rRNA from 2 species
CAGCCGCCGCGGUAAAACCAGCACCUCAAGUGGUCAGGAUGAUUAUUGGGCCUAAAGCAUCCGUAGCCGGCUUUGUUAGUUUUCGGUUAAAUCCAUACGCUCAACGUAUGGGCUGCCGGGAAUACUGCAAAGCUAGGGAGUGGGAGAGGUAGACGGUACUCGGUAGGAAGGGGUAAAAUCCUUUGAUCUAUUGAUGACCACCUGUGGCGAAGGCGGUCUACCAGAACACGUCCGACGGUGAGGGAUGAAAGCUGGGGGAGCAAACCGGAUUAGAUACCCGGGUAGUCCCAGCUGUAAACUAUGCAAACUCAGUGAUGCAUUGGCUUGUGGCCAAUGCAGUGCUGCAGGGAGGCCGUUAAGUUUGCCGCCUGGGAAGUACGUACGCAAGUAUGAAACUUAAAGGAAUUGGCGGGGGAGCAC